GGGCCCUUAGCUCAGUCUGGUAAGAGCGCUCGGCUCAUAAUACCGAGUGGUCGUUGGUUCGAAUCCGACAGGGCCCA
rnacentral:tRNA from 1 species